AGUCUUCAGCUCUCGCGGGCUGGGAGUCCGGGGCGGCAGCAGAGGCCACACCCAGGGCUUGCUGGUCCCGCGCUUUCCGGGGCUGAGCAGGCGCUUGCUGCUUGAACCGGUCAAAGAAGGAACGAAUGAAUGACACUUUUGCCAGGAUGGAGACCCGGGGGCCUCGGGGAGCUGCGAAUCCCAUGGAAUCCUCCCGCACCCUGGGGGACCUCGGGCCUUUUCCGCGCGAGGUAGAGCGCGGGGCUCCGCUGGUUCCGGGCGCCCGGAAUCUCGCGACGGCGGGGGCGAGCCGAAGCCAGGGAGGCGGCCACGAGGACAGAUCGGCAGUUCGGGCCCUCGGACCUCGGGCCGGGGCCGGGGCCGGAGAGGAAUUGGACCGUGAGUCCUGGGUCAGAGAGAAAGUGCUCUUUCUCCUGCACCCAGAGAGGUGGUUAGGGACUCGAGGGGACCCUGCACGGGAAGAGGUGGCCGGUGCAGAGGACCUUGCUCAUGCGGGUGGAGAGGACCACGGCGAGGAGCCCAACUACCCUUCUGUCUUUCAACGAGAAAAGCGAGUUUCUGGCAGGCGUGUAGCCCCGCCGCGGGACCCAGCAGAGCCACCCAAAUACGUGCUUGUGCGGGUGGAAGAUUAUCACUUAACACAAGAAGUGUUGCAGACCUCCUGGGCCAAGGGUCGCAUGACCACGAGGACUGAGGAGCACUCCGUGACCGCGCUCACUUUUCGCAGCAGUAGAGAGGGACAGCCUGGGGGACGCCGGGCCCUUGCUGAACCCCGGGCUCUCCAGGCACGAACAGGGGCACCCCGCGUCCACACCGCGGAGAGGAGGGUUUCACCGUCUCCAGGGACCUGGCUCGAGGAAAUUGAACUCUAAAGAGCAGCCCGAGAAAUGUUCCGGGAUGGCGGGUGAGCGAUCAUCCUUAAAAGAAAAUGCUAUUCGGGGAGUUCCAACCUGCAGUUAACCUACGGAAGGAAUCUUUUGAGAGGCUGGCGCAGCGCUUCAGGGAGGCGGAUUAAGAACUGACCUAGAAACAGAAGUGAAGUUUGAAGUCUGCUCUCUGCAAAGAGGGUGGGAGUGGGUGGAGAAGAGCCUUAUUUUAAAAGUCAAAAACAGAAAGUAAAAAGAAAUGGGAAAAUAAAACCAAAGCAGCGAGUGACUCUCUUCUGAUGUGCACUUUUCAUUUUUCUCCCCCGCAUUUCAGUGUUAGAAAGAAAAAGAGAGGAGCUAGGGAAAGAAGGAGUUGGGGACAGAAGACUAAGAUUUCAACAUGAAAUUCCAUGUACAAAAGCUUUACCGCAAACAAUAGCUAAUUUAGUCCUGUAAACAUGCAUUUAUCAUACAUUUUAAUUUUAAUAUUAGAAAUACUGCAUGUAAAUGUUCUCAUCUAAAGGUAGAUAGCAAUAUGUAGUUUGCCAUAAAAUGAAUGCAUGUCUUAUUCUUUUCCAUAGUUCUUCAUUAAUGAGACUUGUAGUCAAGAAUAGAUUGAAAAUACCGUUCUCCUGGUGUAGUUAAAAAAAAUCUCUUCUGGUACUACUGAAACAACUAAUUUUUCUUAUUUUGUUUAUUCCUCUUUGUUAUUAAAUACCAUCUGAAUUAACUCCUUAGUAGUUGGCCUGGCUGGAGCUCUGUGAGGAGCAAAGCAGCCCUCUCCAGGUGAACUGCUUGACUUUACCACCUGAAGGAGUAUUUACUGCAAGAAUUAACAAAGCAGGUGUUCCUGAUCCAAGCAGAACCGUGUUAUUUGAAGAGCCUGAGAAAUCUUACACCAUUUACAAGUGUCCUGGGAGUGCAUCCAACGUGAAACUUGGGCAUCCUCAAUACUAAGAAAUCUCUGAGAAUGGCUGGGUCUUGGCUCUUUGAUCUUACCUCUACUCCACUGAAAAACAUGAUUAUCUAAAAUUGUGUUAGGUGGAUGAACCACAUCAAAGACUUCCAGAAGCCACUCCAGUGACCAUAAGAUAAAUGUCAGAAUCACAUAACCCCCAGGAUCAGGCAAGUGUUAUCCUCUCUUAAAACUCUUCGUUUACAACCAUGAUCUCCUGUUGGGAAUCAUUACAUUUGACUUGCUGCUUAUUUUUGUUGGAUGUUACCAGUGCUUGGUGAUAAAACUUGAUGUGGCUCUUUGCUUUGAAAAAGAGAAAACUUUUUAUUAAAAGAGAAAGUUAUACACACUGCAUAAAAAUUGGGGAAAUAUUAUGAAGAAAAAGAAGAUUAUAAUAAAGGAAACAAAAAUUUACAGAUGACCCCAAAUCUAUUUUAAUAUUUGGCAUGUUUCAAGCAUGAGUUUUUUGUUUUGUUUUGUUUUUGUUUUAUAGAGAUAGCACCUUGCUAUGUUGCCCAGGCUAGUCUUCUUUUUUUUUUUUUUUGAGACGGAGCCUCGCUCUGUUGCCCAGGCUGGAGUGCAGUGGCGCGAUCUCCACUGACUGCAAGCUCUGCCUUCCGGGUUCAUGCUAUUCUUCUGCCUCAGCCUCCCGAGCAGCUGGGACUACAGGCGUUCGCCAUCACGCCCGGCUAAUUUUUUGUAUUUUUAGUAGAGACGGGGUUUCACCGUGUUAGCCAGGAUGGUCUUCAUCUCCUGAUCUCGUGAUCUGUCCACCUCAGCCUCCCAAAGUGCUGGGAUUACAGGCAUGAGCCACCGCGCAACCGGCCUGCCCAGGCUAGUCUUAAAAUCCUGGACUCAAGCAAUCCUCCUGCCUUGGCCUCCCAACAUGCUGGGCUUUAGGCAUCAGCCACCAUGCCCAGAGAUGGAGUCUCGCUCUGUCACCCAGCCUGGAAUGUAGUGGCAUCAUUGUAACUCACUGCAGCCUCAAACUCCUUGGCUUAAGUGAUCCUCCCACCUCAGCCUCACAAGUAGCUGGAACUAUAGGCACAAGCUACCAUGCCUGGCUAUUCUUUUUUGUUUUUAAUUUUUCUUUUUAAACUAAGGAAUGAAUCAAGAAAAUAAAACAUAACAUGACUGGUACAA